rnacentral:rRNA from 1 species
UACGUAGGGUGCAAGCGUUAAUCGGAAUUACUGGGCGUAAAGCGUGCGCAGGCGGUGAUGUAAGACAGUUGUGAAAUCCCCGGGCUCAACCUGGGAACUGCAUCUGUGACUGCAUUGCUGGAGUGCGGCAGAGGGGGAUGGAAUUCCGCGUGUAGCAGUGAAAUGCGUAGAUAUCGGAAGGAACACCAGUGGCGAAAGCGGCUUCCUGGUCCGACACCGACGUUCAGGCACGAAAGCGUGGGGAGCAAACAGG